rnacentral:lncRNA from 1 species
UGAAGAUCGAAAUCGAUGGAUUUAUUGUGGAGGACUUAAGAAAGAAAAAGGAUUGACGGCUAGGGUUUUCUUUUUCCUUUUUACUUAAUUUUCCAUUAAUUUUAAUAUGUCAUAUGACAUAUAUUUAUAAUGAGAAAACCUAACGUAAUCCUAAUCGAAAUCCUAUUCCGAUUAGAUUAUCCAUUAACCCACAAGUUGGUUAUGAUAUUAACCGAAUUCCGAAUCCUAAUUCUAAUUCGAUUCAUGUGUAACAUUUACACAUAAGUCCUCAUAUUAUUUACUAAUGAUUAGUAAAUACACCAUGCAACUUUUACACAUAAAUACCUCUAAUUUACAACAAUUGCAAAUUAGUCCUUUUACUAAUAAAUUAGUAAACUUUAGUAUUUAACUAUAUUGUAAUUAUAAUUAAUCCAUCCGAUAAACUUCUUUUAUCGUCUCCUAAAUAUCGAUCAUGCGCGAUUUCUUAUGUGUGUGACCUAAUAGGUUCAAUUCUGUCUGGUAGUGAGAUAUGAUGAGAUCUCCAUCUCCAUCAUCAUCGAAACUCUUUUCGAUGGCUCAAACUCUUUUGAUUCCACCCUAAUAGAAUAAUUAAUAAUUAUUUCUAUUGGUUCCCACAAUCCACCAGUGACGCCUAGCAGCAUGUAGUGGCAAUCCAGUCAGAAGUGAAUAUCGGACUGAACCUCUAGGUGCAGUUACCGUACAAUACAAUCCUUCUAUCGCAUAGUUCCAACUGAGUGGAGGUCAUGGAAUAUUCGUCAAACCCCAUCACCCGUCAUAUGACAAAUUUGAUCAGACAGAAGCUCUUAUGGUUACUCUUGGAAACAUCUUUCCAUACACCAUAUUACCCCGGCCGAGGAUUUCUGAGCUUUGCCGUACAAAUAGCAUAGAACUAAUUAUCUCUCUACCGAGAGCGAUAGAUCCCCUAUAAACACACACCCAUUCCUGAUAUGAACCGACUGCAGCCAACAUAUACUACUAAGACCCAUGGCUAGGAUCAGAGUUUGUUGCAUAGUCAAACUACAGUAGCCUCAUAUUGAAUGACCGUGGUGUCGCAGGUCUAAGGAUCAGUUGUACCACUGCAACAUCGAACCAGUUACUGACGAAUGAGUAGACAUCCAUAUAACUGUUCGUAGUUGGUCAUGCUCAGUACCGUUGUUCUCUAACAACCACCUGCAUGUUCGCUCCAGUGUCCCUACACUGAUGACUCGAGAUUCGUCAUCCCAAAAGGGAAGCGGCACACACAUCAAUCUUACCGGAUCAAUCAUCGUCCCAAUGAUGAUCCUCCGAUUGAGAGCAUUUAUGAAUUAAUCACCAAUAAUAUGUAUCUCAAAUUCUCAACUCUUGAGAAUACAUAUUAUCAUCUUAUUAAUUCAAAGGACGAUUCAUGGACACAUUUAACAUGAAUGGAAUAAAAAGCCCAAUUAUAUAAAUAAUAAAGAUUAAGUACAAAUAUAUGUCCCAUAGAAAAUAAAAUGCGUCAGCCUGAUAGGCUUCUAGGGCAUACAACUAACAG